rnacentral:lncRNA from 1 species
CCGCCUAAUUCGUGGUGAAGGGUAAGAUCUUCAAGUGGUGGUGCUGCCCGAUUUAUGGCAAAGGAUAAGAUCUUUGAGUGGUGCCACCAUUUUUUUUAAAAAAAAUCCUUCCCAAGUCCGCACCAUGAGCACCAUCGUUCUUCCUAAGGCCAAGGGAUACACAUGGCAGAUGGUACUUUGGGAAGAAAUAAAUACAUGGUAGAUGAAGGCUGAUGCCUC